GAGGGAAGAGCAGAGGGAAUAAAAUAGAAAAAGAGAUUUGUCCCUAAUUGCACCCUUAUCAAUUCCAAUCAACCAGACAACCAGAAGUGGCUGUGUAUGGUGUUUCUGUGUAUCGCUGCAGAAAAAAACUUGUUAAGGAGUGGGAGGGACAGGAAAAUUAAGUUUUCUAAAAAAGAAACAAUGAGUUUUAAUAGUGAUAAAAACAAAGAAUGACAGGGAGAGUGGAAGAAGAAGGCUCAGAAAUAAGGAGAACAUCUUUCUCUCUCAGAAACCUGCAAUUAUAAUAGUUUCUAUAAACAAACUCAGGAUCACAUCCGUCAGUGUAGAGUCCACUGGGAGCAGCUGUAUAACAGACUCAAUGGACAUUUGGCACGAAAUGUUGAUGUGGUCAUUUAAGUAUUUACAUAAAUCCUAUCUUUUCACUGUUUAAUAAAUAAAUAAAGGGAGUCCUUCCCCCUGUCUCUACCAGAACAUCAUGCAGACAUCCCCUCUUAACAUAAAUCAUUUAAGGCAAAGUAGUUUGUGAACUGGCGCAUGUUUGUGAAUUCAUGAUACUGUGAUGUUUCCGUCUCUGUUCUUGAGUGCAGAUGCUGCACUGUGUGCACUGGUGAGAGCUGCCUUUGUCUUUGACAACUACCUCUAUUACAAGUAAUUGCCAGAUACAAAGUGAGAGGGCAUCCCUUUGGUCUCCGAGCUCUAUAUAUAGCCUGUUCCACAGAGAAAAUCGAUUUCCAGUUAAGAACACAGGAGACAGGGCUACUUCAUCUCUCUAUUCCAUAGAGGAUGAUUAGUAACUGUACAAUAUUAUUCUUUAUCCUCUUUUGUUUCUGUUAUAAUCCACACUUCUGCAUCCAGCUGAAUUCAUCAGCUGUCUUCAGUAAGCAUCUUUGAGUCUUUUUUUAUAUAUAUAAAAUAUGGAAUUAAGGCCUACAGUAUAUUUGGUCAUUGAUUAAAUACAAAUGUCCAAUUUUUGGAAAAAAAUGACAUGUUAGUUAUGCUGAUCAUGGUGUGACAUUCAGGGAAGGGUAAGCAUUGUCCAGACUGUAUAAUGUCUCAUCCAUUUUGAGACCAGAGAAAUAUUCAAACCUGCUUAAAAUUCCAGUGGCUGGAGGGAGAUUUAUUGAGUGCAUUCAUUGCCUUAAUCUUCUCAAGAGGUCACAUUUAAGAGAACAAAUACAGGCAGUGUUACUACAGCACCUGUUCUUGGGAAGCAUGAGAGAAAAGUGACAUAUAAUACUUUAUAUAUGUUCACAUAAAUAAAUCUUGUGCUGGCCCUGUCAUGUUUUUAAACCUCAUAAACUGUAAAAAAUGCCAAUAAAAAAUGAGUCCUAAACCUGCCAAAAGAAGCAGCAUCGGUCUACAGUAGCCAUCAAUUAAGAAGCAGUGCCCUCCUGUUCGCUGGCUGUGUGAAGCUCACUGGCGCCCAUUUGUUUUGUCAUGUAGCCUGUUUUUCAUUGCCACCAUUCCAUGUGCAUGCGGCGGUGAUGAUUAUAAAUAGAAACAUAAAAGCAAGUGGCGCAAUCCUGGUCUGUGACAACCCCCACACCCUAGUAUCCACCACCCUAACUUGCCGCUGCCAUGGCAACGCUGGCGACGUAAUUAUGUCUCCCCAUCCUGCAGAUAUCGAGUCUCACUGCAUGUCAUCUCCUGCCUACAGUGGCAAUGUGACAUGUUGACUAUUAUAUCAGCUUUUCAGCUCUUAUAUAAGGAAGGAGUCCCCAGCAGAGAGAAAGAGGCAGCGAGAAAGCAUUACAAAACCCUCCAACACACACACACACACACACACACACACACACACACACACACACACACACAUACUCUGUAGAGAUUCACUGGCUAAGUGAUAAGUUGUCUUAAAACAUGUUCAAAGAGUGGAGACAGCUAGAGGGGACUCCCGUGCUGUAAUUUUUCUCUCUAUGUUCUAAAAACAGCUCCAAUCAAAUGACAGAGGAGGGCAGUGGCUCGGCAGGCGCGGAGAACAGGCACCUGUAGAACAGACCCUUCUCUCCUGACAGGGAAUAUUAAUCUUAGCUUGUAAGUACUUGACAAAGGACUCUUUUGCAGCAGGCGCUGUUCCAGAGGCAGCCGUGAACCGUAACUGACAUUAAGGAUCUCCACUUUGAUCAGCACACCAAGCUGAGUCUCCAUCAGAAAAUCUCAGACAGUCAUUCAACAGGAUGUGAAGGGGGGAGGAAGAAGAGGAGGAGGAGGAGGAGGAGGAGGAGGAGUGUGAAAGCUUAAGCCACCUUUGAUAACCAAGGCUGUAUGAAAUGGCCCUUGAGGAAACCACAACAGCCUCAUGUGCCUGUACUAUUCUUGUCCACUCUCUGUCCACUGUGUCGGCAAGAAUAACGCUGGACGGAAUGACAAUGUUGAGGGAGCAUAAUAAGGUCCUAAAGGUAGACAGGCAUUGUUCAAGCUCCGCUGAAGCCUCUACCUAAUGUAUAAUUUACAACCUACAUUCUUCAUGAUUGACAUUAUUCUCCGUGCUGACUGAAAUGCAAAGAAAAGGUCAAAAUAUGCUUCUGUCUAUGUACUUUACUCAACAGCAGAAUACAUAAGACAUCGGCAUCUACUGCUACAAAUUUACAGUUGAUACAUUUAAAUAAAAUGCACCUUGAAUGUA